rnacentral:rRNA from 1 species
GACGAACCGAGCGAACGUUGUUCGGAAUCACUGGGCUUAAAGGGCGCGUAGGCGGGCACUUAAGUCUGUGGUGAAAUCCGGCAGCUUAACUGUCGAACUGCCGUGGAUACUGGGUGUCUCGAGGGAGGUAGGGGCGUGCGGAACUGAUGGUGGAGCGGUGAAAUGCGUUGAUAUCAUCAGGAACUCCGGUGGCGAAGGCGGCACGCUGGACCUCUUCUGACGCUGAGGCGCGAAAGCCAGGGGAGCAAACGGG